ACGGAAUAUUGGACAAUGGAGGCAACUCUGAUCCAGCCAUCCCGCGUGGAGGAAUAAUGCCCUAUGGGUUGUAAACUCCUUUAGCUAGGGAAUAAAUCAGUGGAUUCAUCCGCUGUUGAAGGUACCUAGAGAAUAAGCACCGGCUAACUCCGUGCCAGCAGCCGCGGUAAUACGGAGGGUGCAAGCGUUAUCCGGAUUUACUGGGUUUAAAGGGUGCGUAGGCGGGUUUUUAAGUCAGAUGUGAAAGCCUUGAGCUUAACUCAAGAACUGCGUUUGAUACUGGAGACCUUGAAUUCGAUAGAAGUGGGCGGAAUAAUUCAUGUAGCGGUGAAAUGCUUAGAUAUGAAUUAGAACACCAAUUGCGAAGGCAGCUCACUAUGUCGAUAUUGACGCUGAGGCACGAAAGCGUGGGGAUCAAAC
rnacentral:rRNA from 1 species